rnacentral:tRNA from 1 species
GGUGGCUCAGGGACUGACGGUGCCAAACAAGGUGCAGCGAUCGGGCUAGGACUCGGUGUGCUUUCUAAUGGUAGAA